rnacentral:rRNA from 1 species
CCCUUAGAUGUUCUGGGCCGCACGCGCGCUACACUGACGAAUGCAACGAGCUUAUAACCUUGGCCGAAAGGUCUGGGUAAUCUCCAAAUUUCGUCGUGAUGGGGAUAGAUUAUUGCAAUUAUUAAUCUUCAACGAGGAAUGCCUAGUAAGCGCAAGUCAUCAGCUUGCGUUGAUUACGUCCCUGCCCUUUGUACACACCGCCCGUCGCGCCUACCGAUUGAAUGGUCCGGUGAAAUCUCGGGACGGCGGCUUGGUCGCUUGCGUCCGACUGCUGAAACUUGAUUAAACCAUAUCAUUUAGAGGAAGGUGAAGUCGUAACA